UCAAAACCUGCAUGGCCGAAUGACUUGUGAACAUGUAACCAAAGUUGGGUGUCCUCGGCAUCCGGCACUCUUCCAAUUCUUUGGAAGCCACGUUAAUGUGCGUCUUUGGUAUUUUGCCAUUGAUGUUACGUUGGCGAAACCAACCCCGGCACAACAUGUGUCAAGGAAAAAUAAAACUUUAAAGGGCUUGUGUUGCUACGCUGUUUACGGUGAUUGCAAAUAUCUUGCUUCUUUAGAAUUAAAAACGACUCUCGGCAACGGAUAUCUUGGCUCAUGUAUCGAUGAAGAACGUAACAAAAUGCGAUACUUGGUGUGAAUUGCAGAAUCCCGUGAACCAUCGAAUUUUUGAACGCAAGUUGCGCCCGAAGCCUUUUGGCUAAGGGCACGUCUGCUUGGGCGUCACAUGUUGUGUCACCUACCAACACUCAAUCUUUUCAUGGGGUUGUUGUAUUGGGGGUGGAGAUUGGUUUCCCGUUUCUUUGAUGCGGUUGGCUAAAAUAGGAAUUCCAUUUCAAAUGAACACGCGAUUAGUGGUGGUUGUGAAGACCCUCUAUUGAGUUGUGAGUUCAUAGGGAAAGAAUAACCCUAAAAUAACCUGAUGUGCUUUUUGUAUGAGGCUUUGA
rnacentral:rRNA from 2 species